UCCUAACCAGUCUCUCAUUCUUCUCCGAGGAGCUUCAGAAUGAUUCCUAGAGGCGAGUGUAGCAAGCCAAGAUGCUGCCAGGGAAGAGUCAGACUGGCAGCUCAGGAGGCUCCGCCAGGAUCCCAGGGAGACUGGGCAACAGGGAAGACGGGAAGAUCUUGAAUUUAGCAGGUAGGCAGAUUCCAAGCAUAGGCCGAGUCAUCUGACUGAUACAAGAAUGGAGGUGAUAAUGCAGACUGGAGCCACCAUGGACCCUAUCUGAUGCACAAUGUAAACAAACGAACCCUUGGUCUGUUUCUUGCUGAGACAUAAUGUAUGCUAAGCUAAUUAAAAGACA